GCCCUCUCAGGGUUGCACCUGGAGUGUUUCCAGUACUCUACCAGUCUCAGCUAUGGGAGGGAGAGUCAAGUAGAGGCAUACCCAUUCCAUUCCUAGCUUGGCCAGUGGCUAGCGAGUGGAAGGCAAUCUGCUACAAGU
rnacentral:snoRNA from 2 species